GAUGAACGCUGGCGGCGUGCUUAACACAUGCAAGUCGAACGGUGAAGCAGGAGCUUGCUCCUGUGGAUCAGUGGCGAACGGGUGAGUAACACGUGAGCAAUCUGCCCUGGACUCUGGGAUAAGCGUUGGAAACGACGUCUAAUACCGGAUACGAGCUGCGAAGGCAUCUUCAGCAGCUGGAAAGAACUUCGGUCCAGGAUGAGCUCGCGGCCUAUCAGCUAGUUGGUGAGGUAACGGCCCACCAAGGCGACGACGGGUAGCCGGCCUGAGAGGGUGACCGGCCACACUGGGACUGAGACACGGCCCAGACUCCUACGGGAGGCAGCAGUGGGGAAUAUUGCACAAUGGGCGCAAGCCUGAUGCAGCAACGCCGCGUGAGGGAC
rnacentral:rRNA from 1 species